AGUGAACGCUGGCGGUAGGCCUAACACAUGCAAGUCGAACGGCAGCACAGUAAGAGCUUGCUCUUACGGGUGGCGAGUGGCGGACGGGUGAGGAAUGCAUCGGAACCUACUUUUUCGUGGGGGAUAACGUAGGGAAACUUACGCUAAUACCGCAUACGACCUACGGGUGAAAGCAGGGGAUCUUCGGACCUUGCGCGAUUGAAUGAGCCGCUGUCGGAUUGGCUAGUUGGCGGGGUAAAGGCCCACCAAGGCGACGAUCGGUAGCUGGUCUGAGAGGAUGAUAGGCCACACUGGAACUGAGACGCGGUCCAGGCUCCUACGGGAGGCAGCAGUGGGGUAUAUUAGGCAGUGGGCGCAAGCCUGAUCCAGCCAUACCGCGUGGGAGAAGAAGGCCUUCGGGUUGUAAAGCCCUUUUGUUGGGAGAGAAAAGCAUCAGGUUAAUACCCCGCUGUUCUGACGGUACCCAAAGAAUAAGCACCGGCUAACUUCGUG
rnacentral:rRNA from 1 species